UCUCCCCCAUUCUCUCUCUCCUGCAUUAUCACAACGUGGGUUUUGCGGAUCUCCAAUCCAGCCAGCCGGAAGCUCAUUUGUCUCCACUACCUGCAGUAGUUCAAGGUCAGGCUGCACGCCCAGAUUACAUGUUCCAUCAUCUGUGACAAGCCACCGUACGAGGAGGACAUAGCAGAAUCCAGAGUAAAUCUGGAUCUCCAUGGGCAAAAAAGGAAACCGUCGCACUCUGCUCUCUAAGGCCGUUGCCCGCUGAACAGGAGCUGCAGGCCAUCGGUGGAAAAGUGGGUAUUACAAUCCUGGUACAUCUCUAAUUAAUAAGAUCAAUUGCCACUGUAUUUUCUUUUACAAACUCAUUUAGAUA